rnacentral:rRNA from 1 species
UGGGGAAUAUUGCACAAUGGGGGAAAACCCUGAUGCAGCGACGCCGCGUGAGCGAAGAAGUAUUUCGGUAUGUAAAGCUCUAUCAGCAGGGAAGAAAUUGACGGUACCUGAGUAAGAAGCUCCGGCUAAAUACGUGCC